rnacentral:rRNA from 1 species
CCUACGGGAGGCAGCAGUGGGGAAUAUUGGACAAUGGGGGGAACCCUGAUCCAGCGACGCCGCGUGAGUGAAGAAGUAUUUCGGUAUGUAAAGCUCUAUCAGCAGGGAAGAAAGAAAUGACGGUACCUGACUAAGAAGCCCCGGCUAACUACGUGCCAGCAGCCGCGGUAAUACGUAGGGGGCAAGCGUUAUCCGGAUUUACUGGGUGUAAAGGGAGCGUAGACGGCGAUGCAAGUCUGAAGUGAAAGGCGGGGGCCCAACCCCCGGACUGCUUUGGAAACUGUAUGGCUGGAGUGCAGGAGAGGUAAGUGGAAUUCCUAGUGUAGCGGUGAAAUGCGUAGAUAUUAGGAGGAACACCAGUGGCGAAGGCAGCUUGCUGCAGCGGAACUGACGCUGAUGCUCGAAAGCGCGGGUAUCGAACAGGAUUAGAUACCCCGGUAGUC